rnacentral:lncRNA from 1 species
GACGCUGUGAAGCCAUUCUGGCUCUUAAAUCUUCUGCUUGGUAAAACCCUACAUCCAAAUUCCUUGCCAGAGAUGGAAGAAGGUAAAGCAGAAGGAUUGUAGACCCAAGGCAGAGCACUGUUUACUUCCAGCCAGCCCAGAGCAACCUGCACAACCACUCCACAGCUUCAGGCCACCCUGAUUCCCAGGCUUCCAGUUGCUGGACAUAACAGGACGAGGAACACGCACUCUUGGUCUGAUGAGUAACCAGUA